GACGGACGCUGGCGGCGCGCUUAAUACAUGCAAGUCGAGCGAGAACCAGAGCUUCGGCUCUGGGGACAGCGGCGAACGGGUGAGUAACACGUGAGUAAUCUGCCCUCGGCACCGGGAUAGCCCGGGGAAACCCGGAUUAAUACCGGAUGGCCUCUCGAGCUUUCGGGCUCGUGAGAAAAGGUAGCUUCGGCCUCCGGCCGAGGAGGAGCUCGCGGCGGAUUAGCUUGUUGGCGGGGUAACGGCCCACCAAGGCGACGAUCCGUAGCUGGUCUGAGAGGACGAUCAGCCACAAUGGGACUGAGACAGGGCCCAGACUCCUACGGGAGGCAGCAGUGGGGAAUCUUGCGCAAUGGGCGAAAGCCUGACGCAGCGACGCCGCGUGCGGGAAGAAGGCCUUCGGGUUGUAAACCGCUUUCAGGAGGGACGAAGCCACUCGGGUGAACAGCCCAGAGGGUGACGGUACCUCCAGAAGAAGCCCCGGCUAACUACGUGCCAGCCGCCGCCGUAAGAC
rnacentral:rRNA from 1 species